GCAGUGGUGGUUCAAGGGCAGGAUUCUUGCCUUCCAUGCAGGAGACCUGGGUGUGAUUCCCAGCCAACCCA
rnacentral:tRNA from 1 species